rnacentral:rRNA from 1 species
GCGAACGCUGGCGGCGGGCUUAACACAUGCAAGUCGAGCGCCGUAGCAAUACGGAGCGGCAGACGGGUGAGUAACGCGUGGGAACGUGCCUUUGGUUCGGAACAACACAGGGAAACUUGUGCUAAUACCGGAUAAGCCCUUACGGGGAAGGAUUAUCGCCAAAGAAUCGGCCCGCGUCUGAUUAGCUAGUUGGUGAGGUAACGGCUCACCAAGGCGACGAUCAGUAGCUGGCUUGAGAGGA